UAAGGAAUAUUGGACAAUGGACGCAAGUCUGAUCCAGCCAUGCCGCGUGAAGGAUGAAUGCCCUCUGGGUUGUAAACUUCUUUUAUAGGGGAAGAAAGAUACUUUUUUUAAGGUAGUUGACGGUACCCUAUGAAUAAGCACCGGCUAACUCCGUGCCAGCAGCCGCGGUAAUACGGAGGGUGCAAGCGUUAUCCGGAUUUACUGGGUUUAAAGGGUGCGUAGGCGGGCAUGUAAGUCAGUGGUGAAAUACCGGAGCUUAACUUCGGAACUGCCAUUGAUACUAUAUGUCUUGAAUAUUGUGGAGGUAAGCGGAAUAUGUCAUGUAGCGGUGAAAUGCAUAGAUAUGACACAGAACACCGAUUGCGGAGGCAGCUUGCUACGCAAAUAUUGACGCUGAGGCACGAAAGCGUGG
rnacentral:rRNA from 1 species